CCUUGGUCGAGCAGAGAGCCUUCAGAAACAGCGUCCGUCUAUGGAAUUGUGACUGUAAUAGGCCUGUACGGGCCACAACUGGAGUCUUCCACUACCUGCUAACUUGACAGCUCCACCUGGGCCGCGUCGCUCCCAGCAGGAUCAGAGGAAAGAGACCAGGAAAAUCAUCAGCAGCAUGUCCCUCAGUGACGACGAGCAGUUCAGCAUGGCUGAGAAGGCCUGGAAGCCAACGGCGAAGAAG